UGGGGAAUAUUGGGCAAUGGGCGCAAGCCUGACCCAGCAACGCCGCGUGAAGGAAGAAGGCUUUCGGGUUGUAAACUUCUUUUGUCGGGGACGAAACAAAUGACGGUACCCGACGAAUAAGCCACGGCUAACUACGUGCCAGCAGCCGCGGUAAUACGUAGGUGGCAAGCGUUAUCCGGAUUUACUGGGUGUAAAGGGCGUGUAGGCGGGAUUGCAAGUCAGAUGUGAAAACUGGGGGCGCAACCUCCAGCCUGCAUUUGAAACUGUAGUUCUUGAGUGCUGGAGAGGCAAUCGGAAUUCCGUGUGUAGCGGUGAAAUGCGUAUAUAUACGGAGGAACACCAGUGGCGAAGGCGGAUUGCUGGACAGUAACUGACGCUGAGGCGCGAAAGCGUGGGGAGCAAACAGG
rnacentral:rRNA from 1 species